CACGGGUCUUGGGGUACGGGGUAUAACACAUGCGCAGUGUAACUGAAGCUGCGGUCGUGCGUUGCGAUUGGCUCAAUUUUGGCGAGGGCAGACCAGAUUUUACUGCGCAUGUGUUAUACCCCGAAAGAUAUGACGCUUUGAUGACGCGUGACACAGCCUCCUUUCCAAAGGCCUUGGUUACAGACACACACA